rnacentral:rRNA from 1 species
UUCCGGUUGAUCCCGCCGGACCUUACUGCUAUCGAGAUGGGACUAAGCCAUGCCAGUCGAACGACCCGAACUAAGGCGGGAAGUGGCAUACUGCUCAGUAACACGUAGCUAACCUAACCUCAAGACGGAAACAACCCCGGGAAACUGGGGUCAAUUUCCGAUAGAUGUGAAAUCCUGGAAUGGUAUCACAUCCAAACGUCGCCACACCAUGUUGUGCGAACGCUUGAGGAUGGGGCUGCGGCCGAUCAGGCUGUUGGUGGGGUAACGGCCCACCAAACCUUUGACCGGUACGGGCCAUGAGAGUGGUAGCCCGGAGAUGGACACUGAGACAAGGGUCCAGGCCCUACGGGGCGCAGCCGGUACGAAACCUCCACAAUGCACGCAAGUGCGAUGGGGUUAUCUCGAGUGCUACCUUAACCGGUAGCUUUUCCAUUGUCUAAAUAGCCGUGGGAAUAAGGGGGGGGCAAGACUGGUGUCAGCCGCCGCGGUAACACCAGCCCCCCGAGUGGUAGGGAUGAUUAUUUGGCCUAAAGCGUCCGUAGCCUGCUAGGUAAAUUUCUCGUUAAAUCCAACGUCCUAAGCGUUGGGCUGCGUGAAAAACUGCCAAGCUAGAGGGUGGGAGAGGUCAGCGGUAUUCCUGGGGUAGGGGCGAAAUCCAUUGAACCCAGGAGGACCACCAGUGGCGAAGGCUGCUGACUAGAACACGCCUGACGGUCAGGGACGAAAGCUGGGGUAGCGAAUCGGAUUAGAUACCCGAGUAGCCCCAGCCGUAAACGAUGCAGACUAGGUGUUGGGUUGGCCACGUGCCGACUCAGUGCCACAGGGAAGCCAUUAAGUCUGCCGCCUGGGAAGUACGGCCGCAAGGCUGAAACUUAAAGGAAUUGGCGGGGGAGCACCACCAGGCGUGAAGCCUGCGGUUUAAUUGGAGUCAACGCCGGG